rnacentral:rRNA from 1 species
GACGAACGCUGGCGGUGUGCUUAACACAUGCAAGUCGAGCGAUCAGGCCCUUUCGUUGGUACACUGAUGUCAAACGCGGAAGUAACACGAACAUAACCUUCCCUCAUCUAUAGGAUAAGAAUCGCAUACGGUUACUGGUACUAGUUAUGAGCUUUCUUGUCAUCUGCUUGGUUGGAAAGAUUUUUUGGGUUUGGGGUGCACUCGCGGCCUAUCAGCUUGUUGGUGAGCUAGUGGCUCACCUAGGCUUCUACGAGUAGCCGGCCUGAGAGGGUGACAGGCCGCAUUGGGACCGAGAUACGGCCGAAGCUCCUACGGGAGGCAGCAGGGGGGAAGAUUGAAGAAUGGACGGAAGUCGGAUGCAGCAACGCUGCGUGCGGGAUGACGGUGUUCGUGUUGUAGACCGUUUGCAAUAGUGACGAAGCUCUUUGUGACGGUAGCAGUACAAGAAGCAACGGCUAACUACGUG